CAAAGGUGAGCCAGUACAGGAUGGACCCGCGUCUGAUUAGCUAGUUGGUAAGGUAACGGCUUACCAAGGCGACGAUCAGUAGCCGACCUGAGAGGGUGAUCGGCCACAUUGGAACUGAGACACGGUCCAAACUCCUACGGGAGGCAGCAGUGGGGAAUAUUGCACAAUGGGCGAAAGCCUGAUGCAGCAACGCCGCGUGAGUGAUGAAGGCCUUCGGGUCGUAAAACUCUGUCCUCAAGGAAGAUAAUGACGGUACUUGAGGAGGAAGCCCCGGCUAACUACGUGCCAGCAGCCGCGGUAAUACGUAGGGGGCUAGCGUUAUCCGGAUUUACUGGGCGUAAAGGGUGCGUAGGCGGUCUUUCAAGUCAGGAGUGAAAGGCUACGGCUCAACCGUAGUAAGCUCUUGAAACUGGGAGACUUGAGUGCAGGAGAGGAGAGUGGAAUUCCUAGUGUAGCGGUGAAAUGCGUAGAUAUUAGGAGGAACACCAGUUGCGAAGGCGGCUCUCUGGACUGCAACUGACGCUGAGGCACGAAAGCGUGGGGAGCAAACAGGAUUAGAUACCCUGGUAGUCCACGCUGUAAACGAUGAGUACUAGGUGUCGGGGGUUACCCCCUUCG
rnacentral:rRNA from 1 species